UACGUAAGGUGCAAGCGUUGUCCGGAAUUAUUGGGCGUAAAGAGCUCGUAGGUGGUUUGUCGCGUUGUUCGUGAAAACUCACAGCUCAACUGUGGGCGUGCGGGCGAUACGGGCAGACUAGAGUACUGCAGGGGAGACUGGAAUUCCUGGUGUAGCGGUGGAAUGCGCAGAUAUCAGGAGGAACACCGGUGGCGAAGGCGGGUCUCUGGGCAGUAACUGACGCUGAGGAGCGAAAGCGUGGGGAGCGAACAGG
rnacentral:rRNA from 1 species